AGGGCGCACGGUGGAUGCCUUGGCACUAGAAGCCGAAGAAGGACGUGACAAACGACGAAAUGCUUUGGGGAGCUGUAAGUAAGCGACGAUCCAGAGAUGUCCGAAUGGGGGAACCCACUAGCUAAUGGCUAGUACUCCUAUCUGUUAAGGAUAGGUAGAGGAAGACGCAGUGAACUGAAACAUCUAAGUAGCUGCAGGAAGAGAAAGCAAAAGCGAUUGCCUGAGUAGCGGCGAGCGAAACGGCAGGAGGGCAAACCGAAGAGUUUACUCUUCGGGGUUGUAGGACUGCAAUGUGGACUUAAAGAUUAUAGAAGAAUGACAUGGGAAGGUCAGCCAAAGAGAGUAAGAGCCUCGUAUUCGAAAUAGUCUUUAUACCUAGCAGUAUCCUGAGUACGGCGGGACACGAGAAAUCCCGUCGGAAUCUGGGAGGACCAUCUCCCAACCCUAAAUACUCUCUAGUGACCGAUAGUGAACCAGUACCGUGAGGGAAAGGUGAAAAGCACCCCGGGAGGGGAGUGAAAUAGAACCUGAAACCGUGUGCCUACAACAAGUUCGAGCCCGUUAAUGGGUGAGAGCGUGCCUUUUGUAGAAUGAACCGGCGAGUUACGAUAUGAUGCGAGGUUAAGUUGAAGAGACGGAGCCGUAGGGAAACCGAGUCUGAAUAGGGCGCAAUAGUAUUAUGUCGUAGACCCGAAACCAUGUGACCUACCCAUGAGCAGGUUGAAGGUGAGGUAAAACUCACUGGAGGACCGAACCAGGGCACGUUGAAAAGUGCUUGGAUGACUUGUGGGUAGCGGAGAAAUUCCAAACGAACUUGGAGAUAGCUGGUUCUCUCCGAAAUAGCUUUAGGGCUAGCGUCGACAUUAAGAUUCUUGGAGGUAGAGCACUGUUUGGGUGAGGGGUCCAUCCCGGAUUACCAAUCUCAGAUAAACUCCGAAUGCCAAUGAAUUAUGGUCGGCAGUCAGACUGCGAGUGCUAAGAUCCGUAGUCGAAAGGGAAACAGCCCAGACCACCAGCUAAGGUCCCAAAAUAAUUGUUAAGUGGAAAAGGAUGUGGGGUUGCACAGACAACUAGGAUGUUAGCUUAGAAGCAGCUAUUCAUUCAAAGAGUGCGUAAUAGCUCACUAGUCGAGUGACCCUGCGCCGAAAAUGUACCGGGGCUAAAACAAUUUACCGAAGCUGUGGAUACCUUUAUAGGUAUGGUAGGAGAGCGUUCUAUGUGUGGAGAAGGUGUACCGUGAGGAGCGCUGGAACGCAUAGAAGUGAGAAUGCCGGUAUGAGUAGCGAAAGACAGGUGAGAAUCCUGUCCACCGUAAGACUAAGGUUUCCAGGGGAAGGCUCGUCCGCCCUGGGUUAGUCGGGACCUAAGGAGAGACCGAAAGGUGUAUCCGAUGGACAACAGGUUGAUAUUCCUGUACUAGAGUAUGUAGUGAAGGAGGGACGCAGUAGGCUAACUAAAGCGUGCGACUGGAAGUGCACGUCUAAGCAGUGAGGUGUGAAUUGAGUUAAAUGCUUAAUUCUAUAACAUUGAGCUGUGAUGGGGAGCGAAGUUUAGUAGCGAAGUUAGUGACGUCACACUGCCAAGAAAAGCUUCUAGCGUUAAUCAUACUCUACCCGUACCGCAAACCGACACAGGUAGUCGAGGCGAGUAGCCUCAGGUGAGCGAGAGAACUCUCGUUAAGGAACUCGGCAAAAUGACCCCGUAACUUCGGGAGAAGGGGUGCUGGCUUUGAGUCAGCCGCAGUGAAUAGGCCCAAGCAACUGUUUAUCAAAAACACAGCUCUCUGCUAAAUCGUAAGAUGAUGUAUAGGGGGUGACGCCUGCCCGGUGCUGGAAGGUUAAGAGGAGUGCUUAGCGUAAGCGAAGGUAUGAAUUGAAGCCCCAGUAAACGGCGGCCGUAACUAUAACGGUCCUAAGGUAGCGAAAUUCCUUGUCGGGUAAGUUCCGACCCGCACGAAAGGCGUAAUGAUUUGGGCACUGUCUCAACGAGAGACUCGGUGAAAUUUUAGUACCUGUGAAGAUGCAGGUUACCCGCGACAGGACGGAAAGACCCCAUGGAGCUUUACUGCAGUUUGAUAUUGAGUGUCUGUGCCACAUGUACAGGAUAGGUAGGAGCCAUAGAGAUCGGGACGCCAGUUUCGAUGGAGGCGAUGUUGGGAUA
rnacentral:rRNA from 1 species